AGUGAACGCUGGCGGUAGGCCUAACACAUGCAAGUCGAACGGCAGCACAGGAGAGCUUGCUCUCUGGGUGGCGAGUGGCGGACGGGUGAGGAAUACAUCGGAAUCUACUUUUUCGUGGGGGAUAACGUAGGGAAACUUACGCUAAUACCGCAUACGACCUACGGGUGAAAGCAGGGGAUCUUCGGACCUUGCGCGAUUGAAUGAGCCGAUGUCGGAUUAGCUAGUUGGCGGGGUAAAGGCCCACCAAGGCGACGAUCCGUAGCUGGUCUGAGAGGAUGAUCAGCCACACUGGAACUGAGACACGGUCCAGACUCCUACGGGAGGCAGCAGUGGGGAAUAUUGGACAAUGGGCGCAAGCCUGAUCCAGCCAUACCGCGUGGGUGAAGAAGGCCUUCGGGUUGUAAAGCCCUUUUGUUGGGAAAGAAAUCCAGCUGGUUAAUACCUGGUUGGGAUGACGGUACCCAAAGAAUAGGCACCGGCUAACUUCGUGCCAGCAGCCGCCGUAA
rnacentral:rRNA from 1 species